rnacentral:lncRNA from 1 species
UGACGAGGAUUCCUCAGUGAGGCGGCGGACUCCCAGGAGCGAGGAUGAAAUCCGUGGUGAAAUAUGAGAUUUGGACCACGAGGAUUACUUCAUAACACAACUGAUACUCUGCGAGGACUGUAACGUAACGCUGGAGGACGGACGGGAAUCAAAUUCUCCUCAGGGCCCCGAAAAGCUCUCGUUCCAGCCCAUGUCAGUCCGUCCAUGACAAUAGAUGCUGUCUCUACAGAAACACUUUGACACACACACACACACACACACACCCACAUACAGAAGCAUCUAAAACACUGUGCUCAGUCGGGCUCUGUUCUGACAGUGAGCUGAGCCUCGGGGCAGAACCAACAGACAGCAGGAUCAUGCUAACCACGUCUGAGGAAUCUCUUCAGCUCUAAUCUGAACCUUCUCACCCACAAAUCUCUCUUCACGCACACACUCGGGAACUGUCAAGGACAUAAUCACUGCUUUGUGAUGUUCCUUUGAUUGUUUCUGAUCACCGCUCGUGUCUGUUGGGGCUUCCUUACAUCCAGGUCGACCGCACGGUUCAGGCGACAGAUUUUAUUGGAUGAUCAUGGGCCCGCACGGCAUCAACCGAGCCGUACAGAGGCUGGAGUUCAGCGACUGCAAGAAGGGACUCGGUGUGAAGAUCAUCGGAGGUUACCGAGAGUUCACAGGAGAAGAGUUUGGCAUCUACAUCAAGCGGGUGGUCGGUGGUGGGCUGGCAGCUCAGGAUGGUCGGCUUAAGUCAGGUGACCUCAUUUUGGAUGUCAAUAACAUCAGUCUGAUAGGAGUGACUAAUGAGAGGGCGGUGGAGAUCUUGAGGACGGCCUCGCUGUCCAAUCACAUGGCCCUGCUGAUCGCCAGAGACGAUGAAUCCAGGAGGGAGUUUGCUGACCUGAUGGAAAAGUAUGGCUCCAAUCAUAUCACCACAUCAGGACGGAUCUCUCCCUCUCAGCUCACCACAGGUACGACACCCACAAAUAGUUUAAUAUCCUGACUGUUCCUGACAUUUAACGUUUUCAUGACAAAUGAUUGAAAUUUGCUUUUUCACAUGUGAAACAAAUGCUU